rnacentral:rRNA from 1 species
GUUCUCAUCAAUCUUUAAAUAUCACCUAAUAAAAACAAUUAUAUAUUAACUUUUACUAAACACCAAAUUAUAAGUACUGAAAAGGAAAAUUUAACACCCUUAAGUAGUGAAUAUUCUCGUACCUUGUGCAUUAUGGUUUUACAAGCUAAUUAAUUAAAAUACUAUCCCGAAUUCUACGCGAGCUGUCCACGUAUAGUUAAGAACCCACCACUAGUUAUGGCACCAACUUUGGAAAAUAUGCGAACAGAGGCUACAUACCAACCGCGCUAGAAAAUUGCUGGUUUUCAAUAAAAUUUAUAAAUUAAAACAUGUAACAACUUACAAUGUAAGACUUUAGAGGAUAAUCCCUAUAGUCAUAAGCUAAACACCUAAAAUUUUACUAGUUAGGCCUAAAAACAGCCACCUAAAAUACGUUACUGUAUACCGCACUUAAUAUAUACCUGUUAUGCUAAAAUAAUUUGAAAUCUAAGAAUAACUUUCCAUCUUAAUAUAUUCUGUAAAAAUAAGUAUUAUACAAUUUAUUAACAAUAAAUGCUACUUUAGUACCUAAGUGCUUAUAAAGGAACUCGGCAAAUCUUAUUUCGACUGUUUAACAAAAACAUUGCUUCUUGACUCCCUAUAAGAAGUAAUUCCUGCCCAGUGAAUUUCUUUUUAACGGCCGCGGUAUCCUAACCGUGCAAAGGUAGCAUAAUCACUUGCCCAUUAAUUGUGGGCUAGAAUGAAAGGAUUAACGAAAUAAAGACUGUCUCUAUAAGCCACCUAAAAAUUAAUCUCUAACUGAAGAGUGUUAGAUACCAUCGAAGGACAAGAAGACCCUAUAGAGCUUUAUUUUAACAAAUUUAAAUAAUUUUCUAAAAUUCGGUUGGGGCGACCUGGGAAAUUAAUUAUCAUCCCCUUAAAAUAGAUUUAUAUAUCAUAUCCUUGACCCUUUACAAAGAUCACAAAAUCAAGCUACCUUAGGGAUAACAGGCUAAUCCCACUAAAGAGUCCUUAUCAAUAGUGGGGUUUGGCACCUCGAUGUUGGCUUAGGGAAUCUAUACGGCGCAAAAGUCAUAUACAGAUGGUUUGUUCAACCAAUAACACCCUACAUGAGCUGAGUUCAGACCGGCGUGAGCCAGGUUAGUUUCUAUCCUCGACAAUAAAAUCUAUUUAUAGUACGAAAGGACCUAAAUAUGAGUAAUUAUUACUUUCCAAGAAUUCAUAUAAUAUAAAUUAAACUCCUAUAAACAUAAACUAUA